GUUUGAUCUUGGACUGCCCAGCCUCCAGAACUGUGAGAAAUCAGUUUCCGUUGUCAAUCAGACGCUCAGUCUAUGGUAUUUUGUUAGAGCCGCGCGAAUGGACUAAGACGGUCCUUUUAAAUAUUGUCAGAGGGGAGGUCACAGCUGGCAGAGAGCGGGCAGGACCUCGAGGACCCUUUUGAAAGAAUUCUGCCACUUAACAAUCUUGCAUGAGUGGAGGGGAGGACAUCAAGAUAUGCCUGGAUGCCUGGAGAGUCAGAGGUUCCCACACUGGGUUCCUCAGCGUCAGAGGGGAUGACAGAAGUUUCCAGAGAUGCCACAGAGGGCAGGAGUGAGGCAGAGUGGACAGGACUAGAACAAGCUUGAAAUCCUCUGCAUAACGGAUACUGUUUGAGCUUUUACCAGUUUUGAGGGGGACCGAGACCAGAAGUAGAACAGGGACAAGGGAGGCACCAGGUUGGACGCACGGCAACUUACAGGCUGCUGGGGAUCUUCAGGGAAGAAGGGGGGGUGAUCGACAAGGCAGGACAGCACAAACUGGGCCGCCACCAGCGAUAAGCACAGCUGGAGUUUCCUUGUUCUGUUUGCUCACGUGGAGACCAGGGCUCAAAGAAGCGACAACACCUUGCUCAAGGACAUGCAGAGGAUCUGAUCCAAACCACGAGCUUUUGCUGCCACGUCACGCCACGAUUGCUUUGGCGUCCGCUGCCCCUCGGAUCAGAGCACCUUAAUUUGCUUUCCCAUGCUCAGGACCAGGAUGGAGCAGCCAUUUAGCUGGAGAAAUCAUGAGCUACAGCCUGUGCAGUGGGUCUCAGGAUCAGAUGUCUUGUGUGGCCGUCUAUGCAAGCAGUUUUCAACUGGGGCAAAUCUGUCCACCGGGGGACGUCUGGCUCUGUCCGUAGACACUCUGGGUCACCAGAAGGGGAGGUGUGCUGUUGGCAUCUAGUGGGUGGAGGCCGGGGAUGCUGUUCAACACCCCACAGUGCAAGAAGGGCUACCCCUGCCCGUCUCUUCUUGCCCACUGUGUCCUGAGGGUGAAAAACCCUGGCCUAGGCUAAUUUUCUCUUUGCAGAUAAAAUGAUCCAUGUGUCCCUUCACACGCAAAUGUGACUUCCCAGGACAGUUAACGGAAUGAUGGGUGGGGAUGCAGAAUGAGCAUGUCCCUGUGGAUGAGAGCGUGGGCGCCUUUGCAAGAAUACAAACUUGAAAGAGUAACAUGUCGUGGAGACCAUCUGGACAUAGAUGUGACUGAACCCCAUUAAGGCCUCUAUACUCGAAGGUUCUGGAAGGCAGGUGCAGAGAUCUCCUUCUCUUGCAGCACCUGGGACAAGCCUUUAGGCUCCAUGCCCAGUGUGGAGCCCAAUGCAGGGCUUGAACUCACGACCCUGAGAUCA